ensembl:lncRNA
UGCUCAGAACCAGUAAUAAAAUCUCAGUAACAAGUUAUAGUACCUUAUUAAGAUACACCAUCUUAGUAAGAUGAAAUAUCUUAAAUAAAGGCAAUAUAUACUUGUUUUUGUCUGACAAGAUAUUUCUUCCUACACUGCAAAAAAUCAGCCUUUAAAAACAAGAAAAGAAAUCAUCUGUUGAGGAUAUUGCCAUUUGUUUUGGAGAGUUUUGAAGUCAAAUGCUCUUACUCGGUAGGAAGAAAUAUCUUGUCAAACAAAAAACAAGUAUAUAUUGCCUUGAUUUAAGAUAUUUCAUCUUACUAAGAUGGUGUAUCUUAAUAAGGUACUAUAACCUGUUACUGAGAUUUUAUUAUUGGUUCUGAGCAAGUUAGUGCUUGGAACUAGUUUCAUCACCACUGGC